CAUGCAAGUCGAACGGGAAGAGAUGAAGAGCUUGCUCUUUAUCGAAUCCAGUGGCAAACGGGUGAGUAACACGUAAACAACCUGCCUUCAGGAUGGGGACAACAGACGGAAACGACUGCUAAUACCGAAUACGUUCCACGGGCCGCAUGACCUGUGGAAGAAAGGGUAGCCUCUACCUGUAAGCUAUCGCCUGAAGAGGGGUUUGCGUCUGAUUAGGCAGUUGGUGAGGUAACGGCUCACCAAACCAACGAUCAGUAGCCGGUCUGAGAGGAUGAACGGCCACACUGGAACUGAGACACGGUCCAGACUCCUACGGGAGGCAGCAGUGGGGAAUCUUCCGCAAUGGACGAAAGUCUGACGGAGCAACGCCGCGUGAGUGAAGACGGCCUUCGGGUUGUAAAGCUCUGUGAUCCGGGACGAAAGAGCCUGAGGUAAAUAGCCUGAGGAAGUGAUGGUACCGGAAAAGCAAGCCACGGCUAACUACGUGCCAGCAGCCGCGGUAAUACGUAGGUGGCAAGCGUUGUCCGGAAUUAUUGGGCGUAAAGCGCGCGCAGGCGGCUUACUAAGUCCAUCUUAAAAGUGCGGGGCUUAACCCCGUGAUGGGAUGGAAACUGGAAAGCUGGAGUAUCGGAGAGGAAAGUGGAAUUCCUAGUGUAGCGGUGAAAUGCGUAGAGAUUAGGAAGAACACCGGUGGCGAAGGCGACUUUCUGGACGAAAACUGACGCUGAGGCGCGAAAGCGUGGGGAGCAAACAGGAUUAGAUACCCUGGUAGUCCACGCCGUAAACGAUGGAUACUAGGUGUAGGAGGUAUCGACCCCUUCUGUGCC
rnacentral:rRNA from 1 species